AUUCUGCUCUUAUUGUGCAGGCCUUCACGAAGUAUGCACAGAAUGGACUCAAAUUGGUUUCAAAUGAAUAAUAAAAAUGGAUAUGGGUUUAUUGAUGCUGCAGUGUGCUGUAUUAAGACCUGGUUUAGGGAAGACUAAGGCCAAGAUUUGAUGAGCCAACAUGUCAAACUAGGCAUGUUAUGCAUGAGGUAGAAACAAGGCCAUUUACUUGGAAAUGAAACAACCAAAAGAUAACACAACCAAACGUGGAAAUUGGAUGAAGAAUCAGAGAAAAAGGCUAGAUUAGGUUUUGGAUGAUCAAAAAAAAUGGGGAGGUUGACUUUUGUCAAAGUUGACUAAAAAGUCAACUGUUGGCCAAAGUCAACAAUUAGUCAAAAUUUAUAUUUUUUUGUUUUUCUUGUAAACAGACAAUGGAUUGAUGAUUAGGGUGAAGUUUAGGGUUUAAA
rnacentral:lncRNA from 1 species